GCCUUUUGGGUGAAGAUAUAAAAGGUCGGGCCUGCCCGGUGGCGAGAGCUUAACGGCUGCAGUGAAGAAUUGUACGAAGGUAGCGUAAUGAGUUGUCCUUUAAAUGGGGAAAGGAAUAAAAGGUUUGACGAUGGGAAAGCUGUUUCUUAGAAAUAAUAUGAAGUUUCCGUUUGAAUGAAAAGGUUUAAAUUUUUGAAAAAGACGAGAAGACCCUAGUGAGCUUAAUUAUAUUUAUUCAGGAGCGUAAAUAGAAAUUUUAUUGGGGCAAUAGGAAGCUAUAAGUAACGCUUUUUUUUUAUAUGUAGAUCCUCUAUGGGAGAAGUAAGCAAAAGUUACCAUAGGGAUAACAGCGUAAUUUUUCUUAAGAGUUCUAAUUGAGGGAAAAGUUUGCGACCUCGAUGUUGGAUUAGAAUUUCUUUUUGGUGCAGCAACUAAAAAAGUAAGACUGUUCGUCUUUUAAAAUUUUACA
rnacentral:rRNA from 1 species